rnacentral:misc_RNA from 1 species
UUUCCGUAGGUGAACCUGCGGAAGGAUCAUUAUUGUAUAACCGAGGUGCGAGGGCUGUCGCUGACUCGAAAGGUCGUGCACGCCCGAGUGCCCUCACACACAUCCAUCUCACCCCUAUGUGCACCACCGCGUGGGUCCCCCUUUGGCUUGUUCGGAGGGGGGCUUACGUUUUCACACAAACUUUGUAUGCAGUGUAGAAUGUAUUUUUUGUUUUUGCGAUCACGCAAUCAAUACAACUCUCAACAACGGAUCUCUUGGCUCUC